GGGAACUAACGUUACCGAAUGUGGCAGCUAGGUAAAGCAAAUAUGACGUCCUCUUUUGUUUCCUGUAGACUCCAGGCCUCAGCUACUUCAGAUCUGUGUUUGAUUAAGCAGUCAGUAAAAAUGUGAGUGACAGAAGGGGAAGGAGUGGGUGGAUGUAACAUGGACACAUCAAGGGCUGGGUUGAGUUGACAUGAGCAAUAGUUGUUGGGUUUGACAUUGGAUGUGGAGUGGUGUGUUUAAUUGACAUGGAUAACAGAUAGAGAUAGUUGUAUGUGACACCGUGAAGGAAUAAGGGUUGCUAUAAUGGGCACAAGGAAGGGAUGAAGGUGAAUUAAUGUGACAUGGAGAGGAAAAGUGGUUGUUAGAUGUGAGUGGAAAGAAUUUCUUAGAUGUAAAAGGAGAGGAAACAGGAUAUAAGUCAGAUGGCAAGAAGGUUUUAAGCCUAGAUUGUAGUUUAAGAUUUGUGAGUCUUUUUUUAAACUUGUUAAUAUCAUACAAACCUAUAAUAAUGAUAUUAUAAAACUUGGCACCAGCUACAUUAGAAAAAAAUAUAAUAUUAUAAAGGAAUAUAGUAAUAUAACUAAAAUGCCAGGGUGAAGACAGUGAUGAUCGUAACUUGAUACAUCUGAUCUUUUAUGCUUUGGCAAAAUGAGUAAAAAAAAUUAAAUACUUUAGAUCAUAUGACACAUUAUUACAUAUAAAUCAAACGCUGAAACUGUAACAAAAUAUAUCUUACAAAGACUUAGUCAUCAGCGAAAUAACAGAUUUAUCACAUGAACGAUAGUAAUGGUAUCUGGUCUUCUAAUUAGGAAGGUGGUAAGUUUAGAAAAGAAUGUACAUCGAUAGCAAAUAAAAAAAAGAUUAUAAAAAAAAAAAAAAAUUGUCAUAAAUAUUUUCUUUUACCAUAAUUAAAAAAACAAACUUGCUAAAACAAUAUUUGUUGUGAAUUAAAAAAGAUUUACAGUAAAACUACAGGCUUGAGCAAUUUUAAAAAUGUAGCUAAUUUAGUUUAGCAAAUUUGACAAAACAAUAUUAAAUGUAGUUUUCUGUUUGGUGUAACUUUACUGCGUUGUACAAUUGAUGAGUUAUUGCCGUAGUGUACAGGAUCAGUUAUAUAAAAAUGCCUAUUUGUUCCAGGUAUAUGUUUAUUCAUAAGCUUUACUCUUUAUGGAUUAUUUUCUUACUAUAGAAUUAUGAUGAAAUGAGGAAGAAAAAUAAUUUAGACCAAAGUAACUCAGUUAUAAAAAUCAGCUAUUGUUCCAAAUUGAAAAAGUUGACUUUUAGUUCUCCCGUCCCUUGUCAGUGUUCCAUAUUUCACUGUUUAGUUAAUAUAUUCUAACAUGUUUAAUGUGGAUUUUCACCCUAUUGUUCAUCACCAUCUCUGUCUUAAAUGUAUUACAGUGGCUCUGUCAUUAACCCCAGCAAAAAAAAGUAUUUUGGAAAGAUAAAAUAUUUAUGAAAUACUCACAUUGACUGUUUUGGAAAUUCCCUGAAAUUCCAACCCAGGUAAAAGAUAUUAUGAAACAAAGUUGAGAUUAUUUUGUAUUAUGUAUUUUUCCCACGCUUAACAAAGCUUGACAAAAAGGAAGCGUUAUCGCUGUCAAGCGUUGUCAAGCUCUCACCCGUCCCUAGUGAAGGCUGCGGGGGGUGGGGUGGAUGGUUUUGAUUGUGGGGGCUCUCAUGGUCCCACACGACACUACUUAUAAAUCAGUGAUGUACUCUUGCGCAUGCAUGUGCACUGAUGUUGAUUCCUGGCAGAUGAAGCAGUUGGAGCUGAAGAGAAGAGCAGAUGUCAGGCUAGUGGCAAAGUCGCCAUUGGGGGAUUUGUACAAUAUGCAAAAAUCAUAGAAGACAACAGAGUAACUUUAAAGGUAAACUAUAGGCUAGGACUACAAAAUUGUAUUUCUAUAGUGCCCCCCUUGCUUGUCCCCUCCACCCCCUCAGCAUAGAAAAGGUUAAAACCUCUUCUGUCACUUACCUGAAUCCAGUGCCAAUGUCCCUUGGCACUGGGCCAGGCUCCGCCUCCUCUCCUCCUCCACGACAUCGGACACCUAACGCACAUGUGCGGUGAUUGCCGUGAUCGCAUUAGGACAGCCCCAUAAGAAAGCAUUAAAUCAAUGCGGGCUCUAUCUGACACUGGAUGUUGCCUAAUGAUCCAGGUAGACAGCCACGUGGGGUGGCGUUUAUCAAUAACUGCAAUAAUCACCAUUGCAGGGUUAAACUGACAGGGGCACUGCACCCAGACCUCUUCAAUGAGCUGAAGGGGUCUGGGUGCAGAUAGUGUCCCUUUAAACUCCUGUUUCUUUUCACAGAUAUUUGAUUUUUAGUAUAUUCGUAAUAUAUUUUGUACCGUCCCUGAAAUUAGUAACUCUUUAUGUGCUAUGUGAUUUAUCAUAAAUGCUAAUUUGAUUAAGUUGGUCUCAUUAGUGGAUUGCUGACAUUGAGAAAAAUCACUGAAAAUAUGGGAUCUAACUCUAAUUGAAAGCACUUUCCUGAAUACUCUUCGGCCACUGUAUACUGUAAGAGUCUAUUAAUUUUUUUACGGAUAUUGUAAAGGUUAAAGCAGUGGCACCAUCACAUUUAGAGAGGAUAGGGAAUUGUGGAGAAUAAAAUCCAUAAAAUGUACAUCACAGAAAACUGAAUAUAACCCAAGUAAUAUAACGCGAGAUAAAAGGCCGUCAGUUCAAUCUAAUACACACUCUUUUUUAUGGUAUGUGCAUUUCAAAUUCCUUAAAACCUCUUAUAGUAUAAGAUGUCUGGAUAAGGAUCUUUUGAUGUGGCUACUUGUAAUUGUGGAUGCAUUCCAUGUUAUAAUUAGUCAAAUUGCAACGUAUUAAGUUGUUCUAGUCACUCAGUGUGGAAACCCAUGCUCAUUAUCUUUACAAAGAUCACAAUGCAAUCUAAUGAGACUCACAUCUCAGAGCACUUGGUUUUAAAGGGGAAUUAGCUGCCCAUCCUUUAAUCAUCAAGACUCCAAUUUGUAUGUAAGGUACAUGCUAGAUAUGCUGAUUCAGAUAUCAGAAUUCCUACCAAUAGUCUAUGUCUUGAGAUACUCUCAGAUUAAAGUAUGUACAAGUUAACAAAUAUCACUACUUCAUGAAGUCCAUAGAUCUAAACUCCCCACAAAUGAUCAGAUCUUUAGUAACACAGUAACACAGAUAAUUACUUGUGUGUUCUAUAAAUCAGUGGUAUUAUUUUGAACAAACAAUGCCACAAUUUACUAGAAACCAGCGUAACACACUUCCCACCAAACCACAUUAUUCCCAGAAACACAAGCUCCAUCACCCACAGUAUGUCACCUCAUGCAUUCCACCUAACCAUACUAGGUUAAAAACCAACCUCCAUAUGCUCCAAUAAUACAAGGCAUUCUUGUACCUUGACUACCUACAGAUUGUAAUAAACACUCACUGGAACCAAUGAGUUAAGGCGCUUGGUGAGGCAGACAUAUUAAUUGCGUUUGGAUAAUACUAAUUCAGUAAAGCAAUAAAGCAUUAGUAAAAUGUAGAAUUAAAAUGUGUGCAGUGUUUGUUCUGACUGAGUAGCUCUAAAGAGAUGUGUAUUAAAAAUGUAACAUAGGAAACAUGGAAUGACAGUUCAUAAGAUUCAAUCCAAAUCACACGUUAGAAUAUGAAAAACUGAAUCCGGAAAAGAGAAAAUAUAUCCAUAGAAUUCACAUUAAACAACAUACAGAGUAAACUUCAAUUUGUAAAAUGGGCAGUGGUGGCUGGUUAAGUUUAAAUAUGGUGGCGUGCUGCUUCAUCCCCAAUUUGUUGGGUUCUACCCACCUAACCCCAUGAGAUGCCAUGCACUGUUCAAAGUCAGUUGCAUCUCCAAUCAUCAAUACAGGGGAGAAAGGAAACUGCAGAGAUAAUUAUGAUGGGGACUGAGGUUAGUUUGGGGGGUGGCCACAGCAGAGUGAAGAACAGAGUUAUAGGUGUCAAAGAGAUGUCUAGGAUAACGGAAGAAUGAACUAAUGAGAGAGGAAAAGUAUGACUGUUUGGCGAGGGCAAGUACUGCGCUGUAUGAACACAAUAUGAAUCUAUAAUGGAGAGAGUCUGCUUGGGUGCAAGACUUCCUCCAGGAGUGUUCAGCACAACGGGAGCAUCUUUGCAGGUAGUGUGUGUGUUUAGUAUGCCACGGUUGGGGGUGUGUCCUCGUUUGGAGUGGGACUGCAACGUUCAAGGCAGAGGUGAGGGUAGUAUUAUAUGUGGAGAUGGCCAGUGAGGGACAGGAGAGGGAAGGGAUGGAUAGCAAUUGUGAAUCAACAUCAGCUGACAGCUGCUGGAGGUCAAUACAAUUAAGGUUCCUCCUGAGUUGAGGGUGGUUAGGCUGAGGUUGUUGAGUGAGGGGGUACUUGAGAGCAAACGAUAAGAGGUGGUGAUCAGAGAGAGGAAAUGGAGUGUUGCAGAUAUUCGAUACUGUACAUGCAUAAAAGUAUAAUAUUAGUAUGAUAUUUUAUUACAUCUCCAAAUAAGGUCAAGGGUAUUGCCAGCUACAUGGGUGGGAGAAUUAGCCCACUGCGAUAGCCCGAUGGAAGAAGUAACUGAAAGUAGCUUAGUGGCUGCUGAGGUCAAAGGUGGGUUAAUGGGAAUACUGAAGUCCCCGAGAAUUAGGGAUGGAAUAUUAGAAGAGAGGAAGUAGGGAAGCCAGGCAGCAAAGUGGUCAAGAAAGAGUAGAGGGGAACCAGGGGGAUGAUAAAUAAUGGCAAUGUUAGCAGAGAAGGGUUUGAAAAGAUGAAUCGAAUGAAUUUCAAAUGAUGGGAAAGAGAGAUAAGGCGGGGUGGGUAAAGGUUUCAAGGAUCAGUGAGGUGAGAGGAGAAACCCUACACCACCACCUUUACAUUCAGAGUGUCUUGUGCUGUGGGUACAUUGAAGACCACCAAAAGAUGCAGGGGCAGCAGUGUCAGAGGGGAGAGCCAUGUUUCUGUUAAGGCUAGUAAGUCUAGGGGACGAUGAAGAAGUCAUGGACAGCAGUGGAUUUUGUAAUAUUACUAAUAGAGCGUGCAUUCCAGAGGGCAGUAUUGAAGGAUGAUCAGAAGUAAGAUCAGGAUGGGGGAUAUAAUAGUUAUCAAUUAAGUAGUGAGAAUAUAGGGAUUGAGGUGGAAUAGAACACCAUUUUAAAUUAAGAGAUAAAGGGAAACAAUAAGUAAUUCUUGAAUAGAUCUUUCAUAGAUGAUACCUCUGCUUUGACUUUUCUGCAGGGCUUGGUUGCUUGAUAAUUGAUGCCGUUAUUAGGGGCUCAGUCUCUGCUUAGACUUUUUCUCAGGGCUUUGUUGAUUGUGAGUACUGGGUGUUGAUAAUCAAUGCUGUUAUUAGGGGCCCAGUCUCUGCUUAGGCUUUUCUGCAGGACCUGGUUGCUUGAAGAAUAUGACUUUUCUAUUCUGUUUUAGAUGUUUCUGAUACUCAUUUCCCUCAAAAGGUUAUUUAUUUAAAUUAUCUAUGUAUACAUGGAGCAAUUUCCAUAUAGUGAAUUAUUUUGUUUGUUUUUUAGAGAAGCAGUGUUCUUUCAGCUAACAUUAGACUGGGAUUGAUGUGAAUGUCAAUGAUGACAUAUGUAAAAGUUCUGUAUCUUUAUGGUAAAUAAACUAUAAAUAGCAAUAAAAUGAUUUGUGUUAUAAAAACAGAGCAAAGUAUAUAAAUAAUAGAAUACAGUAUGAAGUGCACUGCUAAGAUAACCCAGCUGACGCGUUUUAUAUCUCCGAGGGCCACUUCAUCAAGGGAUGUCAGUGAAACAGAUGAUGGAGUCUUUAAGGAGUAGCAUGACCAAUGAUUAAUUAACCUAGUAAGUGAACCAUUUGGGAUCUAAUUGAAAUGAAAAUGUAAAGAAUGAACUCACUCUUGGACAUCCGAUACACUGUAGCUAGUGUUACAUUAUCAUAAACGUAGAAUGCACUGAAAAGUAUGUGACAAUGCAAUAGUAAACGCUAUACAAAUUAAAUCGUAAGAUUACCCUACAAUGAUAAUAAUUGGAAUUGUAUCAUAACAAAAAGAAAGGCACUCUAAAAUUAACAAGGUUAUGUUCAUGUGUAUUGUUCAUUAAAUAUAAGCAAAAACCUUUGUUUUUGUAAUUGUUGAGGCUACCUAGUUGACGAUGGGAGUGAACCUUUUGAACAUGUGUAUAUAUUAAUAAUAACUGUCAACAAUUUUAUUAGCAGGUUUUGCAAAUCAACUCUGCGCUUCCAAAAUAUUAUAUAAUAUUAAAUAAUAUAAACUUUGCAAAAUAUUGAGUUCCUAGAUGCUAUGUUGUCUGUAAAUCAUUCAAAACUCGUUCUUUAGAUUUUUUGGAUUUUAAAUAAACUAUUGGGUUAAGCAUGAAUAAAUAAGAAAAAAAGAAAGAUGAGUGCAAAAGUUAUCGUUUUAAUGUCAAGUGGUUUAUAUACAAGAAGAAAUUAUCAAGAGAAAUCAAUAGACUGUUUCUGCUGAAUUUUUAUUUGGAGUUUCCCCCGGAAUAGUUUUUAAUUUUGCCUUGCUACAACAUGCUCAUUGAUCUUUUUUAUAUUUUUUUUUCUAGGUCAACGAAAGCAGAAGGCAAAUGAAGGCAAAUGAGAUAUAUAUCCCAUUUUAUAUAUCUUUUAUUAUUCUGGCCAAAAUAUACUUAUGCAGGUUUUUAAACACACACAAAUCGUUUCUGAGCAUAUAACGAGGUGUGUUUAAAAAUGUGUAUGGGCUAUAAGAACUUGUUUAAAAAAAAAUGUUUACUAGAUAUGUAUUCAAAACUGUAUUUCAUUUUACUGCCACUUACAUUAAAUUGUACACAAACAACCUAUAUAGAGAAUUUAGUUAUCAGUCCACAUAACACAUAUUCCUUCCCAUGGGAUGUGUGGGGGAUAAAUUAUCUAAUUCGUCUAAGGAUGUUUUGCUUAUUAUCAUUAGUCUUCUAUAUAUAGAAAGUCCUGAUUUAGGUGAACACAUAUUUACUAGACUUGAAAAAGACCUAUUCACCAAAAAAUUUUAAUAGACUUGUAUUUAAUUAUUAUUAAUAUUAUUUUAUUAUUAUUUUAUUAUUUAUUUAGCGCCAGCAAACUCAAAGAGAACUGCCAGGUAGAGUUGAUGGUGGCGCCAUUGACUUGGAGGGAGACAGACUUGGGUGUUGCAACAGGACAAUGACCCAAAGCAUAGAAGUAAAUCAACAACAGAAUGGCUUAAACAGAAGAAAAUACGCCUUCCGAAGUGGCCCAGUCAGAGUCCUGACCUCAAUCCGAUUGAGAUG
rnacentral:lncRNA from 1 species